CAAGUCGAGCGAUGAAGCACCUUCGGGUGUGAAUUAGCGGCGAACGGGUGAGGAACACGUGAAGAAUCUGCCUUCAACUCUGGGAUAACUCCGGGAAACCGGGGCUAAUACCGGAUAUGAGCCUUGAUCGCAUGAUCGGGGCUGGAAAGUUUUUCGGUUGAAGAUGACUUCGCGGCCUAUCAGCUUGUUGGUGAGGUAAUGGCUCACCAAGGCGACGACGGGUAGCCGGCCUGAGAGGGCGACCGGCCACACUGGGACUGAGACACGGCCCAGACUCCUACGGGAGGCAGCAGUGGGGAAUAUUGGGCAAUGGAGGAAACUCUGACCCAGCGACGCCGCGUGAGGGAUGAAGGCCUUCGGGUUGUAAACCUCUUUCAGUAGGGAAGAAGCGAAAGUGACGGUACCUACAGAAGAAGCACCGGCUAACUAUGUGCCAGCAGCCGCGGUAAUACAUAGGGUGCAAGCGUUGUCCGGAAUUAUUGGGCGUAAAGAGCUCGUAGGUGGUUCGAUACGUCGGAUGUGAAAAUCAGGGGCUCAACCCCUGACCUGCAUCCGAUACGGUCGAGCUAGAGUUUGGUAGGGGAGACUGGAAUUCCUGGUGUAGCGGUGGAAUGCGCAGAUAUCAGGAGGAACACCGAUGGCGAAGGCAGGUCUCUGGGCCAAUACUGACACUGAGGAGCGAAAGCGUGGGGAGCGAACAGGAUUAGAUACCCUGGUAGUCCACGCCGUAAACGGUGGGCGCUAGUUGUGCGA
rnacentral:rRNA from 1 species